GGGAAUUAGCUCAGUUGGGAGAGCGCUUGACUGGCAGUCAAGAGGCCAGGGGUUCAAAUCCCCUAUUCUCC
rnacentral:tRNA from 1 species